GGAAUUUGAUCUAUUCUAAUUCUAAGUUAAAAAGCCAUAUUUGGCUAGUGGCUACCAUAUUAGAUGACUCAGAUAUAGAAUACACUUCAUCUCUGCAAAAUUUUGUUGAGUAACAGCAAAGACGUGGAAUCAACCCAAAUGCCCAUCAAUGAUAGACUGGAUAAAAAUAAAGUUGUACAUAUACACCACGGAAUACUACGCAGUCAUAAAAAGGAAUGAGAUCAUAUCAUUUGCAGAGACAUGAAUGAAGCUAGAAGACAUUAUCCUCAGCAAACUAAUGCAGGAACAGAAAACCAGACACCGCAUGUUUUCACUUAUAAGUGGGAGCUGAACAAUGAGAACACAUGGACACAGGGAGGGGAACACAUUCACUGGGGCCUGUCAGAGGAGGGCAGGGGGUAUGGAGAGCAUUAGGGAAGAGAGCUAAUGCCUGCUGGGCUUAAUACCUAGGUGACGGUUUGAUAGGUGCAGCAAACCACCAUGGCACACGUUUACCUACGUAACAAACCUGCACAUCCUGAG
rnacentral:lncRNA from 1 species